rnacentral:rRNA from 1 species
GGGCCCGCACAAGCGGUGGAGCAUGUGGUUUAAUUCGAUGCAACGCGAAAAAACCUUACCAGGCCUUGACAUCCUGAGAACUUUCUAGAGAUAGAUUGGUGCCUUCGGGAACUCAGUGACAGGUGUUGCAUGGCUGUCGUCAGCUCGUGUCGUGAGAUGUUGGGUUAAGUCCCGUAACGAGCGCAACCCUUAUCCUUAUUUGCCAGCACGUAAUGGUGGGAACUCUAAGGAGACUGCCGGUGACAAACCGGAGGAAGGAGAGGAUGAUGUCAAGUCAUCAUGGCCCUUACGGCCUGGGCUACACACGUGCUACAAUGGGCAGUACAGAGGGCCGCAAACCCCGCGAGGGG